AACCAUAAAUGACCACAACUAAUUUUACCAUUUCUCUGUUGAUGGACACUUAGGUUAUUUUUAAUCACAUGCUACCACAAAAAUGCUGCAAUGAAAACCUCUUUAUGCAUGUCAUUUCACAUAAAUGGGAGUGUAUCUGUAAAUUAUAACACUUAGAAGAGAAGUUGCUUAGUCAAAGGAUAUCUGUAUUUUUAAAAUUUGAUAGGUAUUUCCAAAUUGUCCUCCCUAAAGGUUGUCACCAUUUUCAUUUUUUCUGACAUAAGCAAGUAUUGCCUUUAUAAUAAGAUAAAACAAUAAGUUACUUUUGAAAUUUAAAAAAAGUCUGAAAAAAUGUAUAUUGAGCAAGUUUAAAGCAUUCAUCAUAUAAAUUUGUAUGCCAAGUAGUUACAAACUAAGUACAGAGUGUUCUCAAACAUGACAGAAGAUUUCUAUGAGCACUUUCUAAAGAAUGUCAUAUCCGCAUGAUGAAACAGUGUUUGAAAAUUAUUUCCAAAAGAAUACACCCCUGAAUGAAUCCAGUUUAAAAAAAUUCAAACUUGUAAUGGGUUUGUGAAACUAUAGCACCAUGCUGGCACAUAAUAAAUAUUUACUGAAUGAUUGCAUUUGCGGUGAGGCAGAUAUUUACCCAUUCAAACCAUACCUGAUGAAAUAAUACAGAGCUAACAGGUAAAACAGCACUUUCUCAAUCACAAUGCCUUUAAAAAUCAGCGAUGCUUUUAAAAAAAUGCUAUCUGGUCAGUGUCUUCAUACUUAACAUGGUAACAACAGCUACUAGUCAGAAUAAUUACAUUAGUCUUCUACCAAUAGAUAUUUAGAGGUUACAGGUUGUUUCCAAUCAUUUGCUACUUCAAAAUAUGCCUCAAUAAAUUGUGUGUGUGUGUGUGGGUGUGUGAUUUCACAUAAUUGGGAGUGCAUCAGUAGGAUUUAAAAAGCCAUAGAAAUGAAAUUGUGCUGAGUAUUUCACAGACAUUAUUCUUUUCAUUCUCACAACAGCCCUCCAAGAUGAAUUCAGUGGUUCCUAACUGACAGAUGAGGAAAUUAAAACCUAAAGCUCAGAGUGGUAAAAUGAUUUCUCCAAGGUCAUACGGCCAGCAAGUGGUAGAGAUGGGAUUUAAACCUACCCCCAAGUGCCCAACCUAUUUCGCUCCCUUACACAGUCUCAUAAAUGUUUUCCAGAAAGCAAAAAGCAAACAGCGUAAUAGAAUACUCGAGCCACAUUUGAAGUCUUAAUAGCUUACAUUCAACACAUUAAAACAAUGACAGGGAUGAUGGUUAAGCUGAUAGGUUUGUAGCCUGUGCUUGUCUCCCAGGGAUGAGUCUGGAUCCUAAAAUAUGAAAAGAGAUGGGCACAGUGGCUCAUGCCUGUAGUCCCAGCACUUUGGGAGACUGAGGCAGGUGGAUCACCUGAGGUCAAGAGUUUGAAACCAGCCUGGCCAACAUGGUAAAACCUCAUCUCCAUGAAAAAUACAAAAAAAUUAGCCAGGUGUGGUGGCAGUAAUCCCAGCUACUUAGGAGGCUGAGGCUGGAGAAUCACUUGAACCCGGGAGGUGGAGCUUGCAGUGAGCUGAGAUUGUGCCACUGCACUCCAGCCUGGUCGACACAGCAAGGUUCUGUCUCAAAAAAGGAGAGGGGAGGGGAGGGGAGGGG
rnacentral:lncRNA from 10 species